CCAGACUCCUACGGGAGGCAGCAGUGGGGAAUAUUGCACAAUGGGGGGAACCCUGAUGCAGCGACGCCGCGUGGGUGAAGGAGCACCUCGGUGCGUAAAGCCCUAUCGGCAGGGAAGAAAAGCGAACAGGUUCGCCUGGACAGUACCUGACUAAGAAGCCCCGGCUAACUACGUGCCAGCAGCCGCGGUAAUUCGUAGGGGGCAAGCGUUAUCCGGAUUCACUGGGUGUAAAGGGAGCGUAGGCGGCGACGCAAGUCUGGAGUGAAAGCCCGGGGCCCAACCCCGGGACUGCUCUGGAAAGUGUAGAGCUAGAGUGCAGGAGAGGUAAGUGGAAUUCCUAGUGUAGCGGUGAAAUGCGUAGAUAUUAGGAGGAACACCAGUGGCGAAGGCGGCCUGCUGGACGGUGUACUGACGCUGAGGCUCGAGAGCGUGGGGAGCAAACAGGAUUAGAUACCCUGGUAG
rnacentral:rRNA from 1 species